UCCGUAGGUGGCAAGCGUUGUCCGGAAUUAUUGGGCGUAAAGCGCGCGCAGGCGGUCCUUUAAGUCUGAUGUGAAAGCCCUCGGCUCAACCGAGGAGGGUCAUUGGAAACUGGAGGACUUGAGUGCAGAAGAGGAAAGUGGAAUUCCAAGUGUAGCGGUGAAAUGCGUAGAGAUUUGGAGGAACACCAGUGGCGAAGGCGACUUUCUGGUCUGUAACUGACGCUGAGGCGCGAAAGCGUGGGGAGCAAACAGG
rnacentral:rRNA from 1 species